CUCGGGGGCGGAGUCGAGCCCCACCCCCACCCAGGAACUGCACUCCCAACGGCCCCCUGCGCCUCUGGGGGUGGAGCCGAGCUCCAGCCCCCACGUGGGAACUACAACUCCCAGCAGCCCCUGCACCUCUGGGGGUGGAGCCGCCUGGUCUGCGUCACCGAACCUCCGGAGCCGUGGCCAAUGGCAGGGCAGGGGCGGGGCUGAGUGGGCGGGUCUAAGCCAAUGGGUGGGAGCGCUAUGGCGGAGCGGGUUAGCCCUGCCCCACCCCCAAUCUAUGUGGGGGGCAGCAGCAGUGACAGCGAGGGGGAGCCUGUGAGACCCCCGAGGGGGGAAGGGGGGCAGCCGCGCCCCAAGCGCCGGCGUGUUCUGUGCACCACUGAGAUCCCCACUGUGCCUGUCUACUCGAACAAGGUGAACAGCAGCUUCCAGCUGUGCCCUGCAGAGCUGCACCAGGAGGUGCCCACCCUGCGAUGGCAGGGAGGGGCAGAUCUGGACGUGGAUGAGAUUGACCCUGUCACGCCCCCACGGCCAGAGCGGCCUCACGCCCCACGCCUCCCCCAAGGCCCCUGCACUCACUGGCUGGAGGAGGAGCCGCAGCAGCAGGGGGCAGCGAGAUCGGUUCGGGACGAGUCCCCCUCUCCCCCUCCCCCACCACAGCCCACACGAAGGCAGAGGGGCCGGACCCGACGGGAGGUGGCGCGCCAGCUGCAGGGUCUCAGCACGUGGCUGUCGGCCGCCCAGCGCAGCCUGCGGGAGGAGCUGCCCGAGGACGACGUGAUCCUGGUGGAGCCGCCCCCGUCCCCCCCGUCCCGGCAGCUGCAGCUCAAGGUACGGUGCCGGGCUGAGAUCCACCGCGUCGCCGUGGAGACGUCACAGCCCCUGCAGGUGGUGGUGGAGCACAUGGCCGGGAGACUGCAGGUCCGGCCGGAGCAGAUCCUGCUGCUGCUGCGAGACACAGAGCUGCCCCCCGGCAGCACCCCCCAGGGCCUGGGCCUGGGCGUGGCCGACAUCAUCGACUGUGUGGUGGACGUGGCAGCGGGGGAGCUGCAGGGCGGGGGAGAGUCGGGGACCGGGCCGGGCCCUGGGGAGCUACGGCUGACCGUGCGAGGCCAGGAGAAGGACUCGCUGCUCACACUCAACGUGCCCAGGGCGGAGCCGCUGCACCGGCUGAUGGAGCGCUACCAGGAGGCCAUGGGGCUGAGUGGCCGCCAGCUCCGCUUCUUCUUUGAUGGGCAGCGCCUGGUGGGGACCCGCACGCCCGAGCAGCUGGGCAUGGAGCCCGACGACGUCAUCGAGGCCUGGGCCUAGCCCCCCCCACAGCUGGGCGUGGAGCCUGACGACGUCAUCGAGGCCUGGGCCUAGCCCCCCCCACAGCUGGGCGUGGAGCCCGACGACGUCAUCGAGGCCUGGGCCCAGCCCCCCCGCACACUGGGCAUGGAGCCCGACGAAGUCAUCGAGGCCUGGGCCUAGCCCCCCUGCCCCCCGGGAUGCCCCCGCCCUGCAUAGCUGGGCACGGAGCCUGCUGGAGGCCUGGGCCUAGCCCCCCAGGGUGCCUCCCAGCACCUCGCCCCCAGCUGGGCACAGAGCAGGCUGCUGCUGUCACUGAGCCCAGGGGAUCCCCCUUCCUAGCACCCUGCAGCAGCUGGGUGUGGCCCUGCCCUCACCCCCACACCUAGGCGCGGCCUGGAGCGUGCCCAUCACGUCAGCGAGGCCUAGACCCAGCCCCGCCGCCCCCUUCUGUAAAUAGGGGACUUCAGGGGCAUUUGCCCCCCGCACUGAGGGGGUGAAGCAUCUUUUAUGGAAUAAAUAAAUGAACCCAGCCCUCGG